rnacentral:rRNA from 1 species
UGAGGAAUCUUGCGCAAUGGGGGAAACCCUGACGCGGCAACGCCGCGUGAGUGAGGAAGGUCUUCGGGUCGUAAAGCUCUGUCAGGCGGGAAGAAAUGCAUGGAGGUGAACAGCCGCCAUGCUUGACGGUACCGCCAGAGGAAGCACCGGCUAACUCCGUGCCAGCAGCCACGGUAAUACGGGGGGUGCAAGCGUUGUUCGGAAUCAUUGGGCAUAAAGAGCGUGUAGGCGGCUUGGUAAGUCAGAUGUGAAAGCCCUGGGCUCAACCCGGGAAGUGCAUUUGAAACUGCCAGGCUCGAGUAGGGGAGAGGGAAGUGGAAUUCCUGGUGUAGAGGUGAAAUUCGUAGAUAUCAGGAGGAACACCGGUGGCGAAGGCGACUUCCUGGCCCUAUACUGACGCUGAGACGCGAGAGCGUGGGUAGCAAACAG